rnacentral:rRNA from 1 species
UACGUAGGGUGCGAGCGUUGUCCGGAAUUAUUGGGCGUAAAGGGCUCGUAGGCGGUCUGUCGCGUCGGGAGUGAAAACUCAGGGCUUAACCCUGAGCCUGCUUCCGAUACGGGCAGACUAGAGGUAUGCAGGGGAGAACGGAAUUCCUGGUGUAGCGGUGGAAUGCGCAGAUAUCAGGAGGAACACCGGUGGCGAAGGCGGUUCUCUGGGCAUUACCUGACGCUGAGGAGCGAAAGUGUGAGGAGCGAACAGG